rnacentral:tRNA from 1 species
UCGUCUAGAGGCCUAGGACACCGCCCUUUCACGGCGGUAACAGGGGUUCGAAUCCCCUUGG